rnacentral:misc_RNA from 1 species
GAAAUGCGAUAAUUAAUGUGAAUUGCAGAAUUCAGUGAAUCAUCGAGUCUUUGAACGCACAUUGCGCCCCCUGGUAUUCCGGGGGGCAUGCCUGUCCGAGCGUCAUUGCUGCCCUCAAGCACGGCUUGUGUGUUGGGCUUCCGUCCCUGGCAACGGGGACGGGCCCAAAAGGCAGUGGCGGCACCAUAUCUGGUCCUCGAGCGUAUGGGGCUUUGUCACCCGCUCCCGUAGGUCCAGCUGGCAGCUAGCCUCGCAACCAAUCUUUUUAACCAGGUUGACCUCGGAUCAGGUAGGGAUACCCGCUGAACUUAAGC